UGCUCAGCUUGGACUGAGCUGGCUCCUGAGCAGUCGUCCUCAGAUAUGGUUUAGUGACUGGAGGUUAUGGACAGCUGAGCAGAAACAAACAAACAUAUAAAUAAAUUCCUUAAGAAUUGGCAAUAUAGAAAGCAAAAGUUUUGAUUUGGGGAUAAUUAAGGCUUGAUGGGAAAAGUCUCGUGCAAUCUGGUAUCCUUAUCACUGUUAAAAGAAGUUCUAAUAGGAUACUUCUUGGAUAGUUUAAUGAGUCAGUUUCUUUCUUUUUUUUUCCCCCUUCCAUCCCUCUUUCCCUCUCUCCGUCCUUCCUUCCCUCCUUUGCUUCUGAGUGUUCUUGUCUGGGCCUGACAGGUGUCUGUUUCUCUGGAAGUCUGAGAAGAGCUGCCCCCCUUGCCUUCCCCCAGCCCCUUCCCUUUUGUUUCUCAGGCUGGGUAGGCAGAGAACAUGGCACGUCACUGCAGCAAACCAAAGCAGAGGGCCCCGGUCCUCCUCACAGCAGCAGGGUGGCUGUGCGGAAGCUGGCGGGUUUCUGGAAGAGUGCUCAUUGAGAAUGCUAAGCCUCCUCCCAGACCUUCUGGCUUCUCUGCUGGGGAUGCAGACGGUCUGCACAGCGGCCUAAUCCAUUACUGUAAUUCCUGUGCUUCCAGAAACCACUCCCUCACCUGCGAGAGACUCCAACUUGCCAGCUGCCCAGGGAGGACAAAAUGGAGCAUUGCCACGUGGCCCAGGAAGGGAGGCUCCUGUUAGGCGUGCCUGCCAAUUCUUGGGAUGUUAAGCACCACUUUGGAUUAAAAGUGGGUUUUCUCAAACAUACCCUUGCCCACCAGCCAGCCAGACUGCAGAGGAGCACCUUGCGUGCCGAACGAAGAGGAUGAGCGGGCCUUUGUCCGACCAUCCUCUCCUGGGCCAGUGACCCCGCGGAGUGUGUAUCUGUGCACGCUUGUAAACGAGCAGGGUGUGAGGCACAGGCAGAGAUGGGCCAGUUUCAGUUCCUAUCAUGGUUUUAUAACCUCAGAGUUAAUUUCCUCCUCCGGAAAGUCAAGGGAACAGCUGUCACCAGCCAUGCACGCCCUGCCGCCCCUGAGUGGUGGCUGGUGAAGGCCACUCAGUAAGCACAGAUGCAAGGCUUGGAUUUCUCAAGCUUGAGAAGGAACCAAUUGCUAGGAGGGGAAGGGGUGUGGCGGGGUGCACGAGGGCCACCCCUCUACCCUCCUCCCUGGAAUUGCAAAAGGCAUCAUUGUUGGUAAGGCCUUGGGCUCCUUGGUCCGUCUGCACUCACCCCCUGGCAGGAGGAGAGAUGCUGGCCGGUGUUAUUCUCAUUUUCCACAACACAGGUUUGUUCGGCUGCACGGGCUCCAAAGGGAACCCUGGGAUGUUUUGACGCCAGAAUUCAGGAAAAUCAGUGACCUGGUGAUUCGGAAAAAUAGCUGAAGGAGCGCGGUGGCUCCAGCUCUGUGCAGAUCACAGUGCGCCCUCCCAGGCCCAGCUCUGGGGACCAGGCUUUGUGCGGCGUCCUGACGCUGGGCGGAGGUUUGGAAUCAGAGGAUUCUAGGCAGGGCCGGGAAUGCUGGACUCUUUGGCACCCUCCUCCCCCAGACCUCCCGCCCCCGCAACAGCACCCCAGCAGGGCAGCAGCUCCAUCCUGCGGGUGGCACACCGGGAGAUCCUGGGCCUGGCAUCACCACAUCCUUACAGUUCAGCGGAUCCCAAGGCAUGCAGCGGAGGGAGGCACCAUGAGGCUUUGUUGGCCUCUGGGGCUGGCUGGGAACAUCUCUGAUGAUGAUUCACCGGGAAGUCAGUAGUCAUCUCCUCUGUUUCGCAAAGAGGGGGGACUGGCAACACCGCAGGGUGACCUGCCUGAAGCCACAGAAGGAAGAGGAAUAACUGGGAGGAAAAAACUGAGGUUGAAGGCCUGAGGCUCGUGAGCUGUUCUGGGAAGGGCUCGGCUCUCCCAGCGAAGGGCCUGUGUGACGUGACCAUGGUACUCAGUGGAGCCCUGAGCAUCCAGGAGCUUCUCCAGGCCCUGUGGUCUCCCUCUGGCCAGGCCUGCAGACUUGCCCUUAGGCACAAAUCCCUGCCAGUAGUUCCCUUGCAGGCCAGCUCCUAGGAGAGGGGCCCACAGCCCAGACACUUUGCCCAGGUGGCUGGCAGCUCAGGAACUGGUAAGACUGGUUUCCAGUGCUGGCUCCGGGUGGGCAGAAGGCAGAGCUGCUGCUACCAAUUUAAAGGAGACUAUAAAAGCUUCUGGAAUCUACAACGCAGUCUACUGGCCACCUCCCCUGGACAUUCAACCCCUAGGAUAUGAUCCUGUAAGACGGUGACCUCUUUGUUAAACCAUCUGGGAAUAAAUUGUGUAGGAAUUUAUCCGACAUCCCCUUAGAGAAUUACCAGGGGUCUGAUUUUACUCCAAACCACUUGCUUUCGUCUCCGAAAAAGUUAAGACCGCGAAGUAUUUUUAAACGGAUUUUCCCUGUUGGAUUUGAUGCUUAUAAGAAUCAGUUAUAAAAACCCUACACUCUAUGUGAGACAGUUUAUUCUUCAGUGAAGACAUGGAAGCUCUAAGAAGAACACUGGGCCGCGAGAGGAAGGCUGGGACGCCAGAGCGCAGGAAGCAUGGGAAGGAAGCACAGCGUGGAGGGGGAGUGCUGGGGACCCCAGCUGCCCGCAGCGUGGGGUUGGCUGGGUCCCUCACCCUCUGCCCACUGCACCGCCAAGCCUCAUCCUUCUCUCCCUCUUCACCCUGGUCUGUGCUGGCAGAUGCUCCUGCCAAAGCUUACUUCAUCGGAUGAAAUGAAGGGGAAAUCUGAUUUGCCACUAAUUGGACUUACUGUAGGCAAUUAAGGUUAAACUGACAUGAAGGGACUAUCAGACACUGGGAUUUUCAGUGUUUUUCUUCACAUUCCUGGGAACUUUUUCCAGAAUCUAAGUGAUUAUAAAUUGGGAUACUGAAUGCGGUAUCAGGGUUUGAAAUCACUUUAAGUCAGGACCCUGGAAGUAGUGUUUGCGUUCUCAUUGUGUAAGUUGACAUACACUGUACGGAUACAUGGUCUGUAUAAGGUUUACGGGGUGUGUGUGCAUAAGAAUAUAUGCAGUAUAUAUAUAUAUAGUACAUGGGGUGUAUCUAUGUGGGGUGAGCUGGAUUUCUCUCUCUCUCUAGGUAACCAAGAGUGUUUAAUAAUAAUAAGUGCACAGGGUGGCUUCCUUUUAUUUUCUAAAUUAAGCCUAUUUUCUAUUUUAGAGUUAACAGAUUUAAUUCUAUUAACUCUAACUCUAUUUUCUAAUAACUCUUUAAUUCCUGUUGGGAUCAGUCAUUCACAGAUAAAGAGAGCUGGAACGUUG